rnacentral:ncRNA from 2 species
CACUGCCCGUCGCUCCUACCGAUUGAAUGGUCCGGUGAAGUGUUCGGAUCGCGGCGACGGGGGCGGUUCGCCGCCCCCGACGUCGCGAGAAGUCCAUUGAACCUUAUCAUUUAGAGGAAGGAGAAGUCAUAACAAGGUUUCCAUUGGUGAACCUGCGGAAG